UACAGAGGGUGCGAGCGUUAAUCGGAAUUACUGGGCGUAAAGGGUGCGUAGGUGGUUUAGUAAGUUAGAUGUGAAAUUCCUGGGCUUAACCUGGGGACUGCGUCUGAUACUGCGAAGCUAGAGUACUGUAGAGGGAAGUGGAAUUUCCGGUGUAGCAGUGAAAUGCGUAGAUAUCGGAAGGAACAUCAGUGGCGAAGGCGACUUCCUGGACAGAUACUGACACUGAGGCACGAAAGCGUGGGGAGCAAACAGG
rnacentral:rRNA from 1 species